rnacentral:lncRNA from 1 species
CUUGGGGAGGCUGAGGCAGGAGGAUCACAAAUUUGAGGCCAGCCUCAGCAACAUAGCAAAGCCCUAAACAAUUUAGUGAGAACUUGUCUCAAAAAAUAAAAAAGGGCUGAGGAUAUAGCUCAGUGGUUAAGUACCCCUGGGUUCACUCCCCAGUACCAAAAAAAGUUAGGUUGGUUACUGGGUGCACACCACUGUACCACUGCAGGUUAAAUUCCCUGGGAAGCAGGCUGAGAGCGCCAAGGGCUGGCGUUUCCUAGGGACAGCCUUGGGGAAGCACCUGUGGAGAGAGAAGCAGCAGUGGGCAGGUGUAUAUGUUGAGGUGUUGUGCAGGCCCCAUGUCAGCCUUGGCUGACCCCAUGGAGAACUCUGGCUGGAGUGGCCUUUCAGAUUUGUUCUAAAUUGAACUGAGAUAGCCAGUCUUAUAAAAUCCCACAUUGAUUGGUCAUUGAGUAUGGUCUAUCCUGGCAAGGGGAUGUGACCUGAGCAGAGGGGGCUCUGCCACUUUGGCAGCCCCUGAACGGGCCUUCAGCUGAGCUGUCUCCUUACAGCACUCCUGACGCUGGGCUACGAGACCUGCCUGGAAAGUGGGGUCUGAGCAGCAUACCUUCCUUUCCUCUAUGAAAGAGCAUUACCACGAAAAUCUUUGAGAGUCACUGAAUUCUCCUCUUCCUUUCUCCCCAUUACCAUCUCCAUUUCCAAGAGCAGACAUCUGUGUGGGAGGCAUACCAGAGCCUCAGACCUUGGAAGUGUGCUUUGUGCUGUCAAGGUGGAGCUCCAGACGCCUGCCUGCCUGCCUGCCUAGAGGAGAGGCAGGAGGGAGGAGCCAGCCUAAGACGCUUGGUUACCUGGUUCAGCUCAGCGGAGUGCCCGGCUCUGUGGGAGCCCUGCCACAGGCCACUCCUGCCUCGCGCUCACCAGGGGCAUGGCCUCUGACCCACCAUCACAGUCCUUCACUUGGUGUAGUUAGUGAUCACUUACUAAGUGCCCAUGUUCCAGAACUAGAAAUAGCAGUGAACAAAACAAAGUGCUCCUCUUCCCCACAAAGAUUUUUAUUCGGUGGUUUUACUGAGUCUAUUAAGUAAGAUUUGUGCACAUGAUGACAUUGAACUUCUACAUGGCCUUCAGUUCAGUCAAGCUAGGACUUGUCUUAGCUUGAAUGACAGAUUUAAAGCAAAGCACCUACCAUGUCUGUUCACAG